UGCAUGGUGGUGAAGUUGGUAGCAUUGCAUUGCUGCUUUGCAGCAAGAAGGUCCUGGGUUCGACUCCCAGCCAGGGGUCUUUCUGCAU